AACGAACGCUAGCAGCGUGGAUUAGGCAUGCAAGUCGUGCGCGAAAGUCUUCGGACGAGUAAAGCGGCGAAAGGGUGAGUAACACGUAACCAACGUACCCCUUAGAUCGGGAGUAACCACUGGAAACGGUAGGGUAAUACCGAAUGGUCCUAUGGCUAGGCAUCUAGUCAAUGGUAAACGGUAGGCUUCGGCUGCUGCUGAGGGAGCGGGUUGCGGCCUAUCAGCUUGUUGGUGAGGUAAAAGACUUACCAAGGCUAUGACGGGUAGCGGGUCUGAGAGGAUGAUCCGUCACACUGGGACUGAGACACUGCCCAGACUCCUACGGGAGGCUGCAGUCGAGAAUCUUCCACAAUGGACGAAAGUCUGAUGGAGCGACGCUGCGUGUAGGAUGAAGGCCUUAGGGUUGUAAACUACUGUCACGCUAUAGGAACCCGUAUCCGUUAAUAGCGGAUACGCUGACCAAAGCGAAAGGAAGUGCCGGCUAACUCCGUGCCAGCAGCCGAC
rnacentral:rRNA from 1 species